rnacentral:rRNA from 1 species
CCUACGGGAGGCAGCAGUGAGGAAUAUUGGUCAAUGGGCGCGAGCCUGAACCAGCCAAGUAGCGUGAAGGAUGACUGCCCUACGGGUUGUAAACUUCUUUUAUAAAGGAAUAAAGUGAGGCACGUGUGCCUGUUUGUAUGUAUUUUAUGAAUAAGGAUCGGCUAACUCCGUGCCAGCAGCCGCGGUAAUACGGAGGAUCCGAGCGUUAUCCGGAUUUAUUGGGUUUAAAGGUAGCGUAGAUGGGUUGUUAAGUCAGGUGUGAAAGUUUGCGGCUCAACCGUAAAAUUGCAAUUGAGACUGGCAGCCUUGAGUACAGGUGAGGUAGGCGGAAUUCGUGGUGUAGCGGUGAAAUGCUUAGAUAUCACGAAGAACUCCGAUUGCGAAGGCAGCCUGCUGGACUGUAACUGACGCUGAUGCUCGAAAGUGUGGGUAUCAAACAGGAUUAGAUACCCUUGUAGUC